GAUGAACGCUGGCGGCGUGCCUAAUACAUGCAAGUCGAGCGAACGGACGAGAAGCUUGCUUCUCUGAUGUUAGCGGCGGACGGGUGAGUAACACGUGGAUAACCUACCUAUAAGACUGGGAUAACUUCGGGAAACCGGAGCUAAUCCCGGAUGAUAUUUUGAACCGCAUGGUUCAAAAGUGAAAGACGGUCUUGCUGUCACUUAUAGAUGGAUCCGCGCUUCAUUAGAUAGUUGGUAAGGUAAAGGCUUACCAAGGCAACGAGGCAUAGCCGACCUGAGAGGGUGGUCGGCGACACGGGAACGGAGACACGGUCCUGACUCCUACGAGAGGCAGCAGUAGGGAACCGGACGCAAUGGGCGAAAGCCUGACGGAACAACGCCGCGUGAGUGAUGAAGGCCUUCGGAUCGGAAAACUCUGUUAUUAGGGAAGAACAUAUGUGUAAGUAACUGUGCACAGCGUGACGGUACCGAAUCAGAAAGCCACGGCUAACUACGUG
rnacentral:rRNA from 1 species